rnacentral:rRNA from 1 species
CCUACGGGAGGCAGCAGUCGGGAAUAUUGCGCAAUGGAGGAAACUCUGACGCAGUGACGCCGCGUGCAGGAAGAAGGUUUUCGGAUUGUAAACUGCUUUAGACAGGGAAGAAAAAAGACAGUACCUGUAGAAUAAGCUCCGGCUAACUACGUGCCAGCAGCCGCGGUAAUACGUAGGGAGCAAGCGUUAUCCGGAUUUAUUGGGUGUAAAGGGUGCGUAGACGGGAAAACAAGUUAGUUGUGAAAUCCCUGAGCUUAACUGAGGAACUGCAACUAAAACUAUUUUUCUUGAGUGCUUGAGAGGAAAGUGGAAUUCCUAGUGUAGCGGUGAAAUGCGUAGAUAGUAGGAGGAACACCAGUGGCGAAGGCGACUUUCUGGACAGUAACUGACGUUGAGGCACGAAAGUGUGGGGAGCAAACAGGAUUAGAUACCCUGGUAGUC